GACUAUCUAACGUGUCUGUUUAAACUCUGACGUGAUUAACGUGAGACUUUGUCGUGACUGGUUAAUUUGACUUUUUAACAUGACUCUGACGUGACUAUUUAACGUGAAUAAAGUUAUUAUCUAACGUGACUAUCAAACAUGACACUCUGACCUGACUAUUUAACGUGAGACUCUGACGUGACUAAUGUGACUAUUUAACGUGAGACUGACGUGACUAAUGUGACUAUUUAACGUGAGACUCUGACGUGACUAAUGUGACUAUUUAACGUGAGACUCUGACGUGACUAAUGUGACUAUUUAACGUGAGACUCUGACGUGACUAAUGUGACUAUUUAACGUGAGACUCUGACGUGACUAAUGUGACUAUUUAACGUGAGACUCUGACGUGACUAAUGUGACUAUUUAACGUGAGACUGACGUGACUAAUGUGACUAUUUAACGUGAGACUCUGACGUGACUAAUGUGACUAUUUAACGUGAGACUCUGACGUGACUAAUGUGACUAUUUAACGUGAGACUCUGACGUGACUAAUGUGACUAUUUAACGUGAGACUCUGACGUGACUAAUGUGACUAUUUAACGUGAGACUCUGACGUGACUGACGUGACUAUUUCUCAGCCUUCAAGAGUGAGACUGUAGACUCUGAGCCUGUUCAUGCACCGAUCUGACUUUGCCAAGUCAAGCAGUGAGGACGUACUCAGUCAAGUCAUAAUCUCUGAUUAGGGCCCAAUUACAUCAAACUAAUAUCCUGUUCAGGUCUAAAGAAGCCUUCAAGGUCAAGUUAUACACAACUCACCUCACCAUUUCCGCUGCACAUUUUGAUAAAGG